GGUGCAGAGACAAAUUCAAAGACAUAAGAGGCAGAGACAGACAGAACAGGUCCUCAUCCAAAGAUACGGAGAAGUCAGAUGGACGGAAAGAGAAACCAGAGAUUUGGAGAGAUUGAGGACAUAGAAGAAGAGAUACAGUAGCCAGAGACAGAGACACCCCAGAUAAAGAGAUAGACAAAGAUGAAGAAAGAGAUUGAUAAAGACAGGAAUAUGGAGAGAUAAAGAGGAGGAAACAGGGAGGUCCAAUGAAAAAGACAGGCAGGAAUAAAGAUAUCAAUGAAGAGGAGGGAAAAAGACGAAAAACCAGAAUGUUCCCCCUUCCUAAUAACUAAAACCUGGUCACUUUAUUACUUUAGAUUUACAAAUCACUACAUAUACAUACAUUGUUGGAUUUAAUCCUUACAACAACGCAGAAGUGUGAAGCAGAUACUACCAGUAAAAUCCUCACUUUAGAAAAGAGUAAACUGAGGCUCGGGGUGCUUACAGCAAGCUAAUACAGCCCGCGUAAGUCAGAAGUGGAAUUGCAGCUCCCAGCAAGCCUUAACUGAAGUUCAGCACCGCCCUUCCCCCACCCCCUAACUGCCUCUUCUCAGGCACCACCGCACCACCUGCCCCGGGAGGGGAAGUCUGGUCCCUACUGAACCGGGAGCUGAGUCCCUCCGUCCUAGACUGAGCUGAGACUGGGGAUACCGCUGCAGAGAGAGGGGUUAAGAAACUGAGGCCCCAGAGAGGCGAAGUACUUGCUCGAGGACACCCAGGUUAACAACUGGCAGCGUCAGGAUUCGAACCCAAGUCCCAGGAUCUCAAGCCCACACCAGAGAACCCGAGAUGGAUCCUGGGACCACGCACAGAGAAAUGGCAUUGAGUAAAAUAAAAAUCAUUCAUAGAUACAUCUGCAAGGAUGACGAAGGGGGACUGUUGUAAAUAUUCUUUUUACACAGUUCAAAGUGGGAGAUGAGCUCCUUGACUCCCCCAGUACAGAACUCCUGAGUAUCUGGAACAGGCAUCCUGAGCCAC